AUAAGCAGAUGAAGAAGUAACUCCGGAUGCCCAUCUUGAGAUGAAGAAAGCUGGAUACUCAUCUUAAAUCAUGUCCCCUGCUCCCAUAGUUACAAGAAACAGAAGAAGAUUAGAAUCCAGGCACCUUAAUCCCCACCUCUGCGCAUAUGCAUUAUUACUGUCCUUUGAACAUUCCAGGCAAACAGUAGAGAUGAUAUAUCAUUAACUAAUGAGGAUGCUAAAUUAGGUAAAAUAAAGUACUCGUGGAACUUAAUAGAAGACUUAAUUAUGCUUCAUUUUUUUCGACACUUAAUUGGUUACAUUUAUAAGAUACAUACAAAAAAAAUAUAUACAACAGAAAGCAGAAGAGAAUUUGUCGCAUUCACCAUACAAAGACGUGCGUGUCAGGACUUGGGCAAGAAAACAAGUCUCCUGCUGCCACUAAGAACAGGCAUUUAUGGCAAGACAGACAUCUGAGAAUCCAAAGAAUCCAACUCCAAGAUGAAGAGUUUGCCAAGGAAUUCCUUCUCCACUUCUUCCACCAUGACAGCUGCUCGGUCUCAGCUUCAGCUGCCCUCCAGAACUUCAGCUUGGACUCGUAACAGACCGCCUUUCCCACAGCCUCUGUGAGGAGACACCCUACCACCCUGUCAGAAAGAAACCCCUGCCGAGAAUCUGAGUAUUGGGUAGGAGCAGCUCUGCUUGUGUACUUAAUCCCGUGUUCCGUCCAUGGCCAGCCUGUGUCCUCACAACGUGCAUGCUUCCAACUACAGAGUCCUAGCCAAUGCUACGUGCUUCAAUUUUUACUAAACAAUUCAAAAGCCAGUGACCUAUUGUGCGACUGGGCUUCCAAAAUAAAUCCUGAGGUCAAGAACUCCGUGUGGCAAAUAAGUCACCAGUAUGAACAAUGAAAACGAAGUGGCUAAAGAGACCAACAACUCAUGAGAUUUAAGUAAUAACGAUUAUAUCAAUAUAAAAGACUGUGGCUACAAUCAAAACAAUGAUGUUGCUUUAAUAUGAAAAAAAAAUGGUAAGACAUACCUUAAAACCUGCACCUUAGUAUUUGCACCCUGGGGUGGGAAGUUCAUGUUCAUUGUUCUCCUUCUUGUGUGUAUUUUGAGAUUGUUUCAUUUUUAAUGGGUGCAAUUCAAUGGAACACGGGACUCACAAACGGUGAGGGUCCCAGAUGAACCCCUGAUGUAGUUGACUGUGUUACUCAAAAUUCAAGGCAUUUUCCAGAUAACAUUACCAGUUGAUGCUCUGGGAGAAAAGUGCGACUGGAGACAAUUCAGUAAAAAGGGCACGCAAGGCAGACAACUGCCAAUGUCCAUCUUCCACCAUGACUUUGGCUUAUUAACACCCUGUCCACCUGUUUGUCUGCUAUCAGUUGGCGAGGAGAUUGCCUGCAGAAGAGGUCUCCGGCAACAAAAGUUUUAGCAUUUAAAACUUUCAAUUUUUAUAAAGAUAAUUGCAGAGUGUGCUACACGUAUUUCUAUCCUCUUGAAUGCAUGAGGGGGCACAGUCACCCUCUUAAACGGAGACGGUCAUUACUGCCACCACCACGGGCCACCCAAGGUCGUGGGACUCCUUACCUUGGCGCCAGGUGCUCUCAGACUCUUCGGCUUCUAACCUUUUUUUGUCUGUAUCGCAUCCUGGUGUCCGAGGCUCCUUUCAUCACCUGCCAGCACGUUCUCUCCAAGGUCGCUUCGGCCUUAGGUAGCCGGUGGAGGUGAGAAAACCCUGUGUAGCUGUGGCAAAGUUCCGAGGCGAGGGGAGGAAAGGUACCCACGUCUCUACCCUCCCCCCAGACUGUGCUAGACAAAGUCUUUUCUUCCUACAGAAGCUCUGUCUACUGUCAGGGACGCCAGGUGCCUUACUUGGACUUCAGAUUUUGACACCUUCACGGGUCUGUGAUUUUGAGCAAGGAGCAGGGACAGACCAAGACUCACUUUUCUAACUAUUAGUAUAUGUCACCGGGCUACUGUGAGAACAAAACAUGCUGGCACAGGGUAGUCUUUCUGUAUGAUACCCUCCUGUCCCUCUGGCUCCUUCCUGGGGGCCUUGGGAGGGACACGCUAACAAGAUCUCCCUUCUAGGAGACGCUUUUGGGUGAGUCAGGGGGCUCUUCAAGGCCAAUAUCCUAACUACCCACAGGGUAAACAUUACUGUGGAAAUUUUAAGUCAGAACAAUGUGAGUUGGUGGCUCCAUUCCCCGGUGUCAUGAAUGCCCUGCCCAACUCUUUCAUGAAUCUCCACCACCACCACCACCCUGAUUAUGGACUUGGGACAAUGUAAUGAGAAGAAGAGAGAAACCAUUGCAUUACCUACACCGGCCGGCUUACCUGUGUCACGGGGAGGCAGUGUGAGUGACCGUCGAGAAGGCAUCAGGUGGGCAUGCUGAAAAUACAGCA